AUACGUAGGGAGCGAGCGUUGUCCGGAAUUACUGGGUGUAAAGGGAGCGUAGGCGGGUGUGCCAGUCAGAUGUGAAAUACAUGGGCUCAACCCAUGGGCUGCAUUUGAAACUGCAUUUCUUGAGUGAAGUAGAGGUAAGCGGAAAUCCUGGUGUAGCGGCGCAAUGCGUAGAUAUCAGGAGGAACACCGGUGGCGAAGGCGGCUUACUGGGCUUUUACUGACGCUGAGGCUCGAAAGCGUGGGGAGCAAACAGGAUUAGAUACCCUGGUAGUCCACGCUGUAAACGAUGAUUACUAGGUGUGGGGGGACUGACCCCUUCCGUGCCGCAGUUAACACAAUAAGUAAUCCACCUGGGGAGUACGGCCGCAAGGUUGAAACUCAAAUGAAUUGACGGGG
rnacentral:rRNA from 1 species